rnacentral:rRNA from 1 species
GGACUACUAGGGUUUCUAAUCCCGUUCGCUCCCCACGCUUUCGCGCCUCAGCGUCAGUCGUCGGCCAGGAAGUCGCCUUCGCCACUGGUGUUCGGCCCGGUCUCUACGGAUUUCACCCCUACUCCGGGACUUCCACUUCCCUCUCCGACACUCCAGCUCGACAGUUUUCCGCGUCCCUCCCCAGUUGAGCCGGGGGCUUUCACACAGAACUUAUCGUGCCGCCUACGCGCUCUUUACGCCCAGUAAUUCCGGACAACGCUCGCCCCCUACGUAUUACCGCGGCUGCUGGCAC